CCUACGGGGGACAGCAGUCGAGAAUCAUUCACAAUGGGGGAAACCCUGAUGGUGCGACGCCGCGUGGGGGAAUGAAGGUCUUCGGAUUGUAAACCCCUGUCAUGUGGGAGCAAAUUAAAAAGAUAGUACCACAAGAGGAAGAGACGGCUAACUCUGUGCCAGCAGCCGCGGUAAUACAGAGGUCUCAAGCGUUGUUCGGAAUCACUGGGCGUAAGGCGUGCGUAGGCUGUUUCGUAAGUCGUGUGUGAAAGGCGCGGGCUCAACCCGCGGACGGCACAUGAUACUGCGAGACUAGAGUAAUGGAGGGGGAACCGGAAUUCUCGGUGGAGCAGUGAAAUGCGUAGAUAUCGAGAGGAACACUCGUGGCGAAGGCGGGUUCCUGGACAUUAACUGACGCUGAGGCACGAAGGCCAGGGGAGCGAAAGGGAUUAGAUACCCGUGUAGUC
rnacentral:rRNA from 1 species